rnacentral:rRNA from 1 species
GAUGAACGCUGGCGGCGUGCCUAAUACAUGCAAGUCGAGCGAACGGACGAGAAGCUUGCUUCUCUGAUGUUAGCGGCGGACGGGUGAGUAACACGUGGAUAACCUACCUAUAAGACUGGGAUAACUUCGGGAAACCGGAGCUAAUACCGGAUGAUAUUUUGAACCGCAUGGUUCAAAAGUGAAAGACGGUCUUGCUGUCACUUAUAGAUGGAUCCGCGCUGCAUUAGCUAGUUGGUAAGGUAACGGCUUACCAAGGCAACGAUGCAUAGCCGACCUGAGAGGGUGAUCGGCCACACUGGAACUGAGACACGGUCCAGACUCCUACGGGAGGCAGCAGUAGGGAAUCUUCCGCAAUGGGCGAAAGCCUGACGGAGCAACGCCGCGUGAGUGAUGAAGGUCUUCGGAUCGUAAAACUCUGUUAUUAGGGAAGAACAUAUGUGUAAGUAACUGUGCACAUCUUGACGGUACCUAAUCAGAAAGCCACGGCUAACUACGUGCCAGCAGCCGCGGUAAUACGUAGGUGGCAAGCGUUAUCCGGAAUUAUUGGGCGUAAAGCGCGCGUAGGCGGUUUUUUAAGUCUGAUGUGAAAGCCCACGGCUCAACCGUGGAGGGUCAUUGGAAACUGGAAAACUUGAGUGCAGAAGAGGAAAGUGGAAUUCCAUGUGUAGCGGUGAAAUGCGCAGAGAUAUGGAGGAACACCAGUGGCGAAGGCGACUUUCUGGUCUGUAACUGACGCUGAUGUGCGAAAGCGUGGGGAUCAAACAGGAUUAGAUACCCUGGUAGUCCACGCCGUAAACGAUGAGUGCUAAGUGUUAGGGGGUUUCCGCCCCUUAGUGCUGCAGCUAACGCAUUAAGCACUCCGCCUGGGGAGUACGACCGCAAGGUUGAAACUCAAAGGGAUUGACGGGGACCCGCACAAGCGGUGGAGCAUGUGGUUUAAUUCGAAGCAACGCGAAGAACCUUACCAAAUCUUGACAUCCUUUGACAACUCUAGAGAUAGAGCCUUCCCCUUCGGGGGACAAAGUGACAGGUGGCGCAUGGUUGUCGUCAGCUCGUGUCGUGAGAUGUUGGGUUAAGUCCCGCAACGAGCGCAACCCUUAAGCUUAGUUGCCAUCAUUAAGUUGGGCACUCUAAGUUGACUGCCGGUGACAAACCGGAGGAAGGUGGGGAUGACGUCAAAUCAUCAUGCCCCUUAUGAUUUGGGCUACACACGUGCUACAAUGGACAAUACAAAGGGCAGCGAAACCGCGAGGUCAAGCAAAUCCCAUAAAGUUGUUCUCAGUUCGGAUUGUAGUCUGCAACUCGACUACAUGAAGCUGGAAUCGCUAGUAAUCGUAGAUCAGCAUGCUACGGUGAAUACGUUCCCGGGUCU